rnacentral:rRNA from 1 species
UACGUAGGGGGCGAGCGUUGUCCGGAUUUAUUGGGCGUAAAGAGCGUGUAGGCGGCUUGGUAGGUCUCGCGUCAAAACCUGAGGCUCAACCUCAGUUCGCGUGGGAAACCACCUAGCUAGAGUCCGGAAGAGGAGAACGGAAUUCCCAGUGUAGCGGUGAAAUGCGCAGAUAUCAGGAGGAACACCAAUGGCGAAGGCAGCACUCUGGUACGUGACUGACGCUGAGACGCGAAAGCGUGGGGAGCAAACAGG